rnacentral:rRNA from 1 species
UACGGAGGGUGCAAGCGUUAUCCGGAUUCACUGGGUUUAAAGGGUGCAUAGGCGGGCAUGUAAGUCAGUGGUGAAAUCUCAGAGCUUAACUCUGAAACUGCCAUUGAUACUAUGUGUCUUGAAUUUCCUGGAGGUUAGCGGAAUAUGUCAUGUAGCGGUGAAAUGCUUAGAUAUGACAUAGAACACCGAUUGCGAAGGCAGCUGACUACGGGUAGAUUGGACGCUGAAGGCACGAAAGCGUGGGGAUCAAACAGG